UGUACCGUGCACCAGCGGUAGGUUCCUCCUUUCCAUGUUUUUUUUUUUUGGUUCUGUGAUGCUGUGCAGCGCUUUCAGGAGCGCUCAGAUGAACACAAGGGAAAAGGAGUAUUUCUGGAAGCCAGCCUAGGGUAUGACUGACUCCGCAGAAAUCCAGAUUCAUACAACACAAUAGGCUUUCUAGAACAAAGCAUCUUAGAAUAUACCUUGUAAAAAGGGAAACAAAAAAGCAAGGGGAAAAUCCUUGCCUUAAUUUUUCAUCUGCAGUUUGAGAAGAGCUAAUGUAAAUGUUAAAUUCAAUCCCAAACAGUCCUGAUUUCUGCAAAAAAUGGCAAGCACUGGUACUUGGGGAUUUAGUACAGCUUGGGAACCACAAGCCCCUACCUCCAAAGGACCACAGAAAGGAUAUUAAUGGUUUCAUCCAGGUCUUCCAGGUCCCACUCGAUGCUCCGCAGGUUGUUCCUGAGCUCAUUUGUGGUCCAGUCGAUUUCUUCUCUUGUGGCGAUGGAGGGAUCCUGCAAGAGCUCUGUCCACCUCUGGAAGAGCCCCUGGGCAGUGUUCACGGCUUUCUGCACCUCCCUGCAGCCGGGGGCCUGAAGUCCUCAAACUGCUAUCUGAGCUGCAGCUCUCAGCGCCUCAGUGCGUGCCCCUCCUCUUCCCGCACGCCCACGGCUCCGAGUCUGCCACAUCGAGUGCCCUAAAGUCAGCAACCCACACUGAGGAUCUGGAAAACUUCAUUCCCUACUCUACUUGCCAGCAGUGCUUUUGGUUUUGUGGUGGUGUUUUGUUUUUUUUUUUCACCUGAACACACUUGUGGAAGUACUCAGAAGCAGGAAUGUAAAGCAGAGCUGGAUGUCCUCCGACGGGAAGAGUUACAGACACCAGGAAAGCAAGCUAAAUGCAACUCUGGUUGGCUCCACAACCACCAGCCCCUCAGACCUGCCAGAAUCAUUUAGGUUGGAAAAGACCUCUAAGAUCAUCGAGUCCAUUUGUGAAAAAGUGUACAGCUUCACAGAGCUGUUGAGGGCUGAAGUUCUCCUUGAUGGUGGGAGGAGGGAUUCGACAGAGAGGAUCUGCUCUGCCCUUGGAGAGGAUCUGCUCUGCUCUUGCUGCUCUCGGUGGUGGUUGCUAUUCUGUGGUGUGAUUUUCUGGCAAGUCCCAAAGACCCUGAUCCCCCUGGGGGUCCUUGAAGGAAGCGGGAAGUGGAGCGGGCAGCCUCUCCUAGGAUAACAAACAGCUCCGUGGCUCCAGAGCAUCAUUGUGCAGCCUCCCCAUCAGGCCCAAGCGGGAAGCAGUCGCACAGAGGACACAUCUGCACUCUGGGGCGUGCAGAGGGCUGUGGUUGUCAUUUGCCCGAUGGCUACAAGGAAGGUGACAUUGAGAUACAGGGAGAGAGAAAAAAAAAAUAAUUAGGCUGAGACUCCUCUGGGCAGAGGAUGUACCCUGUGGAUUGCUGAACUGUGACUGCAGCUGGCUCUGCGCGGAGUUCUCGUGAUUAAUUGGGGAUGUUUAACCCCAGCCGCCGAGGCUGCCGCCUUCUCCAGCACAGAGUUUGCUCGGGAGCAAAUCACUCCAGUGAAAACCACCGGCUGGGCUGGGAAGCCAGAGGAUCAUCUGCUGGGCUGCAUCCCAGAGCUGUCCUGCUUCUUUUCCCCCUGGACACAAGGCAGCCUUUGGAAACGGGACAGGACCCAUUGCAGGCGUAUCAGAGAGGGAAAAAAACAUACAGGAAGGUGGACUACAAUAGAAGGGUUGUCUGAUAGGAAACCCCGGACAAAUAAAUGCAUUUUUUUCCCCAGGAAACCCAAACCAGUUCCAUAAGCCACUGAAAGAUAUGGGGCCAUAUUUUUCCAAGGGAAACGGCUGCCUGAAGAAGCUGAUAGCUGGGAGUGGGGUUUUUUUUCCCCCUUUGUGUUUGGAGAGGUUGCAGGAGGAGUAGCAGGAUAUCUGCUGGGCAAGGGCUCCGAGUCACAAGUCUCCAGAGGACGGGAGGGAAAUCCCAAGCCUGUGUCUCAGAGCGAGGCAAGGGAAAUUUUAAAUCAUUAAUGUAGGGGGAAAAGGGGGAAUCCCAGGUCACUGGGAAAAAAACCAAAGAUGCAUAGGAGAGAGUCCUGCCUGCCUGGGGUAUCAACACUAUAAUCUCUGUCGAUGGGAAGGGGUUUUUAACUCCGGAAAAACCCUUUGCUUUCUAGUACAUGGCUGUGCUGCAGGCUCACACCUCACAGUGGUUUCGGGGUAGGUGACAGAGCUGCUUCCUGUCCUUUGGGUUUAGGUCUGUAUCGAUUU